rnacentral:rRNA from 1 species
UGGGGAAUAUUGCACAAUGGGGGAAACCCUGAUGCAGCGACGCCGCGUGAGCGAAGAAGGUUUUCGAAUCGUAAAGCUCUGUCCUAUGAGAAGAUAAUGACGGUAUCAUAGGAGGAAGCCCCGGCUAAAUACGUGCCAGCAGCCGCGGUAAUACGUAUGGGGCGAGCGUUGUCCGGAAUUAUUGGGCGUAAAGGGUACGUAGGCGGUCUAUUAAGUCAGGUGUGAAAGCGUGAGGCUUAACCUCAUUAAGCACUUGAAACUGAUAGACUUGAGUGAAGGAGAGGAGAGUGGAAUUCCUAGUGUAGCGGUGAAAUGCGUAGAUAUUAGGAGGAAUACCGGUGGCGAAGGCGACUUUCUGGACUUUUACUGACGCUCAGGUACGAAAGCGUGGGGAGCAAACAGG